rnacentral:rRNA from 1 species
AGCAGCCGCGGUAAUUCCAGCUCCAAUAGCGUAUAUUAAAGUUGUUGCAGUUAAAAAGCUCGUAGUUGAAUUUCGGGAUUGGCGCAUCGGUCGUGCCUCACGGGGUAUGAACUGGUGCAGUCAAUUUCUCACCUUCUGGAGAACCGCGAUGUCCUUAAUUGGAUGCCGCGGGGAACCAGGACCUCUACUUUGAAAAAAUUAGAGUGUUUAAAGCAGGCAUUUUUGCUUGAAUACAUUAGCAUGGAAUAAUAAAAUAGGACGGCAUGGUUCUAUUUUGUUGGUUUCUAGGACCACCGUAAUGAUUAAUAGGGAUAGUUGGGGGCAUUAGUAUUCAAUUGUCAGAGGUGAAAUUCUUGGAUUUAUUGAAGACUAACUACUGCGAAAGCAUUUGCCAAGGAUGUUUUCAUUAAUCAAGAACGAAAGUUAGGGGAUCGAAGACGAUCAGAUACCGUCGUAGUCUUAACCAUAAACUAUGCCGACUAGGAAUCAGACGAUGUUAAUUUUUUAAUGACUC